rnacentral:rRNA from 1 species
UGCAUGGUUGUCGUCAGCUCGUGCCGUGAGGUGUCGGGUUAAGUCCCAUAACGAGCGCAACCCUACCUUUAGUUGCCAUCAGGUAAUGCUGGGGACUCUAAAGGAACUGCCUACGCAAGUAGUGAGGAAGGCGGGGAUGACGUCAAAUCAGCACGGCCCUUACGUCCAGGGCUACACACGUGCUACAAUGGCCGAUACAGAGGGCAGCUACCUGGUGACAGGAUGCAAAUCUCCAAAGUCGGUCUCAGUUCGGAUCGGAGUCUGCAACCCGACUCCGUGAAGUUGGAUUCGCUAGUAAUCGCGCAUCAGCCAUGGCGCGGUGAAUACGUUCCCGGGCCUU